rnacentral:rRNA from 1 species
GUUGCAGGGUAUAGACCCGAAACCCGGUGAUCUAGCCAUGGGCAGGUUGAAGGUUGGGUAACACUAACUGGAGGACCGAACCGACUAAUGUUGAAAAAUUAGCGGAUGACCUGUGGCUGGGGGUGAAAGGCCAAUCAAACCGGGAGAUAGCUGGUUCUCCCCGAAAGCUAUUUAGGUAGCGCCUCGUGAAUUCAUCUCCGGGGGUAGAGCACUGUUUCGGCUAGGGGGCCAUCCCGGCUUACCAACCCGAUGCAAACUGCGAAUACCGGAGAAUGUUAUCACGGGAGACACACGGCGGGUGCUAACGUCCGUCGUGAAGAGGGAAACAACCCAGACCGCCAGCUAAGGUCCCAAAGUCAUGGUUAAGUGGGAAACGAUGUGGGAAGGCCCAGACAGCCAGGAUGUUGGCUUAGAAGCAGCCAUCAUUUAAAGAAAGCGUAAUAGCUCACUGGUCGAGUCGGCCUGCGCGGAAGAUGUAACGGGGCUAAACCAUGCACCGAAGCUGCGGCAGCGACGCUGAUGCGUUGUUGGGUAGGGGAGCGUUCUGUAAGCCUGCGAAGGUGUGUCGUGAGGCAUGCUGGAGGUAUCAGAAGUGCGAAUGCUGACAUAAGUAACGAUAAAGCGGGUGAAAAGCCCGCUCGCCGGAAGACCAAGGGUUCCUGUCCAACGUUAAUCGGGGCAGGGUGAGUCGACCCCUAAGGCGAGGCCGAAAGGCGUAGUCGAUGGGAAACGGGUUAAUAUUCCCGUACUUGGUGUUACUGCGAAGGGGGGACGGAGAAGGCUAUGUUGGCCGGGCGACGGUUGUCCCGGUUUAAGCGUGUAGGUGUGUGUUCCAGGUAAAUCCGGUUCACUUUAACACUGAGGCGUGAUGACGAGGCACUACGGUGCUGAAGCAACAAAUGCCCUGCUUCCAGGAAAAGCCUCUAAGCAUCAGGUAACAUCAAAUCGUACCCCAAACCGACACAGGUGGUCAGGUAGAGAAUACCAAGGCGCUUGAGAGAACUCGGGUGAAGGAACUAGGCAAAAUGGUGCCGUAACUUCGGGAGAAGGCACGCUGACACGUAGGUGAAGUGAUUUACUCAUGGAGCUGAAGUCAGUCGAAGAUACCAGCUGGCUGCAACUGUUUAUUAAAAACACAGCACUGUGCAAACACGAAAGUGGACGUAUACGGUGUGACGCCUGCCCGGUGCCGGAAGGUUAAUUGAUGGGGUCAGCGCAAGCGAAGCUCCUGAUCGAAGCCCCGGUAAACGGCGGCCGUAACUAUAACGGUCCUAAGGUAGCGAAAUUCCUUGUCGGGUAAGUUCCGACCUGCACGAAUGGCGUAAUGAUGGCCAGGCUGUCUCCACCCGAGACUCAGUGAAAUUGAACUCGCUGUGAAGAUGCAGUGUACCCGCGGCAAGACGGAAAGACCCCGUGAACCUUUACUAUAGCUUGACACUGAACAUUGAGCCUUGAUGUGUAGGAUAGGUGGGAGGCUUUGAAGUGUGGACGCCAGUCUGCAUGGAGCCGGCCUUGAAAUACCACCCUUUAAUGUUUGAUGUUCUAACGUGGACCCGUGAUCCGGGUUGCGGACAGUGUCUGGUGGGUAGUUUGACUGGGGCGGUCUCCUCCUAAAGAGUAACGGAGGAGCACGAAGGUUGGCUAAUCCUGGUCGGACAUCAGGAGGUUAGUGCAAUGGCAUAAGCCAGCUUGACUGCGAGCGUGACGGCGCGAGCAGGUGCGAAAGCAGGUCAUAGUGAUCCGGUGGUUCUGAAUGGAAGGGCCAUCGCUCAACGGAUAAAAGGUACUCCGGGGAUAACAGGCUGAUACCGCCCAAGAGUUCAUAUCGACGGCGGUGUUUGGCACCUCGAUGUCGGCUCAUCACAUCCUGGGGCUGAAGUAGGUCCCAAGGGUAUGGCUGUUCGCCAUUUAAAGUGGUACGCGAGCUGGGUUUAGAACGUCGUGAGACAGUUCGGUCCCUAUCUGCCGUGGGCGCUGGAGAACUGAGGGGGGCUGCUCCUAGUACGAGAGGACCGGAGUGGACGCAUCACUGGUGUUCGGGUUGUCAUGCCAAUGGCACUGCCCGGUAGCUAAAUGCGGAAGAGAUAAGUGCUGAAAGCAUCUAAGCACGAAACUUGCCCCGAGAUGAGUUCUCCCUGAGACUUAGAGUCUCCUGAAGGAACGUUGAAGACGACGACGUUGAUAGGCCGGGUGUGUAAGCGCAGCGAUGCGUUGAGCUAACCGGUACUAAUGAACCGUGAGGCUUAACCUUACAACGCCGAAG